GCUAGUUUACUCAGGUAGAACAUUUCUUAUUGUUUAUAUCUUUUCUAUUGGUCAGUAUGAUUUAGGCGGGAAUCUUUUGUUUAACUAUUCUUUGUUCUGGUGACUUGGCUAAAAUAUUUAUAUGAAGUGGUAGCCAUUUUCUUCAGCUCUAUUGGAAGUUGUUAUAUCUUAAAUUUGAUAUUGAAAUAGUCUAGGACUUUCAUAUUCUUUUAUAAGGUUAUAUUAUUGAAACAGAAUGUAAACUGAUUCAAAUCAAUCAGUUGGUGAAAAGACCUUUGCACUACAUGUGAGGGUCAUUUUUGUUAGAAUAUUAACAUCAAUUCUGAUGAAAUAAAGAACCUAAGACCUAUCAACGUGUUUGUGUUUAUUUAAAUACAAGGGAAGCACGACUACAUUUUGGCGCCCAACG
rnacentral:lncRNA from 1 species